rnacentral:rRNA from 1 species
UGGGGAAUAUUGCACAAUGGGCGCAAGCCUGAUGCAGCCAUGCCGCGUGUGUGAAGAAGGCCUUCGGGUUGUAAAGCACUUUCAGCGAGGAGGAAGGUGGUGAGCUUAAUACGCUCAUCAAUUGACGUUACUCGCAGAAGAAGCACCGGCUAACUCCGUGCCAGCAGCCGCGGUAAUACGGAGGGUGCAAGCGUUAAUCGGAAUUACUGGGCGUAAAGCGCACGCAGGCGGUUUGUUAAGUCAGAUGUGAAAUCCCCGGGCUCAACCUGGGAACUGCAUUUGAAACUGGCAAGCUAGAGUCUCGUAGAGGGGGGUAGAAUUCCAGGUGUAGCGGUGAAAUGCGUAGAGAUCUGGAGGAAUACCGGUGGCGAAGGCGGCCCCCUGGACGAAGACUGACGCUCAGGUGCGAAAGCGUGGGGAGCAAAACAGGAUUAGAUACCCUGGUAGUCCACGCUGUAAACGAUGUCGAUUUGGAGGUUGUGCCCUUGAGGCGUGGCUUCCGGGGCUAACGCGUUAAAUCGACCG